GGAAAAGCAUGGGGGUGGCAUUUCCCGAGCCCAAUGAACGCUUUCCGGCACCGGCGGUCGACGAAGCUCGUACAUGAGAGGUCGCCGUUGUACUUAUUCCGCGGGUGACAGAAACGCUAAACGAGUUUUGUAGGGUACCAGCCAGUAAUGAAGAACGCGACACUAAACGUGUCCAAUGUGUUGAGUAUCUGAACUAUUCUGUGCCACACAAACUGGUUUCUUCUACCUCUCCCAUCUUCAGUAAAUUAUGCUCUCAGAGACACCCAUCCACUCUGCAAGGGUUCGAAAUGGCAUUUGCAGAUGGUUCCCACUUCACAUUGUUAUGAAAGUUGAGACAAGCAUUUAUGACUCCCACUUUAUCCCAGUACUAAAUUGGUGACAUCCCACAUGCUCUGUCUCGGACUAGCGUAAGGCUGAAUACUCGAUGCCACAGCCAUUCCACAGGCUUCUCCACAGUCCAUUGUCCGUAGGAAUGUGGAAGGUCGAAGGAGAGAUGAGAAGCGUUCCUUCUGCUUUUGCUCUCUCAAUUAGUGUGAUGGCCAUCAUUCCUCUUGAUGAUUAAACCUCGGCGUGGAAACGGAACCUCUGUUGAACCAAUCAGAGAAGUCACCGAACAAUUUAAAGAUCAUGAUCAAUAUAAAAAGGUUAUCAGCAACUAUCCCUUUCGGCGCAUGAUCUUAAAUAAACCCACACGUAUGCACAUGAAACAGUGGCCCUCGCACCUGCCUUUCGAUAAUGGUUUUGGGAAGAUGGGAGUCACGGCCACCGUUCGAGCCGUCUUUAGGGGAACGAGACGGUAGGCUUACCCGAUGUGACUAAAAGCUGAAGCCCGACUCCUUUUACAGGCGCAUCCACAUGGCAUCAAAAAUCGUGCCGACUGCGUCCUCUCAAUUUCCACCCUUCAGAUCUCCACCGUGUCCGGACAAGACUUCACGUGCACCGUCGCCAGGUACCCUGGAUCCUCUUCAAGUGAACCAGGUGAGGUGUCCGCGGCACCCGGCCGUAUUGGUGGAUACUUGAGAUGUAAGAUGACUUGGAAGAAACUACUUACAAGGAUACCUGGAUAUGAUCCUUAUCAAGUCCAAGGCACCGCAGUGUCUCACGUCUCCCUCGCUGUUUUCGUCCUCUGCGCCCGCGCUUCAUGGUACCCAAAAACCCUAGAAGCCCUAGCAGCGGCGCCAUGAACGGGUCUUGCUGUAAGCUAGAGGACGGGUUCCCGGCGUUGCAGCUUUUCGGCCAGGGCGUCUCCUACACCUAUGACGACGUCAUCCUUCUUCCUGGCUACAUCGACUUCCCCGCCGACGCCGUCGACCUCUCUACCCGCCUCUCCCGCCGCCGCCCCCUUGCCAUCCCCUGCGUCGCCUCCCCCAUGGACACCGUCUCCGAAGCCGCCAUGUCCGUCGCAAUGGCCGCCCUCGGCGGCGCCGCCAUCGUCCACUGCAACAACGCCCCCGAUAGCCAGGCCGCCAUUGUCCGCGCCGCCAAGGCCCGCCGUAUCCCCUUCGCCACCGGCCCCGUCUUCCUCUCCCCCUCCGACUCCGUCUACGACUUUGGCCCUGCUGCUUACGCAAUCGUCACCGAGUCCGGGACCUCCAAGUCGAGGGUCGUGGGCGUCGUCGCCAAGUCCGAUUGGGAGGGCCUAGCGAAUAGGAAUACUCUGGUUUCCGAGUACAUGCGGCAUGCGCCAGUGUCGGCUCCGGCGAGCUACGACUUCGAAAAGGUGGCGUCUUUCCUGGCAGGCGGGGGAUUGGAGUACGCGCCGUUGGUGGCGGAAGAUGGGGAGGUCGUUGAUCUGGUCACCAAGGAAGACGUGGAGAUGAUCAAGGGAUUCCCAAGGCUGGGAGUGCCAUCCCUGGGCGCCGAUGGGAGGUUCGUUGUGGGGGCGGCAAUAGGAACCCGGGAGACCGAUAAGGAGAGGCUGGAGCAUCUGGUGAAGGCCGGGACGAAUGUGGUAGUGGUGGAUAGCUCGCAGGGUAACUCCAUAUACCAAAUCGAGAUGAUCAAGUAUGCCAAGAGUAUGUACCCGGAGUUGGAUGUCAUCGGAGGAAAUGUUGUCACAGUUGCACAGGCGCAGAAUCUGAUCAAGGUCGGGGCUGAUGGGUUGAGGGUGGGCAUGGGAUCGGGGUCCAUAUGUACCACUCAGGAGGUUUGCGCUGUGGGCAGAGGACAGGCAACAGCAGUGUAUAAGGUUGCAUCUUUUGCAAAGGAACAUGAUGUGCCUGUUAUUGCUGAUGGUGGGAUCUCGAAUUCUGGACACAUUGUGAAAGCUUUGACUCUAGGGGCUUCGACCGUUAUGAUGGGCAGUUUUUUAGCUGGUAGCAGUGAGGCACCUGGUGUUUAUGAGUAUCUGAAUGGUCACCGAGUGAAGAAGUAUAGGGGCAUGGGUUCUUUAGAAGCAAUGACAAAGGGUAGUGAUGCACGGUACUUGGGCGACACACUAAAACUCAAGGUUGCUCAAGGAGUUGUUGGUGCUGUAGCUGACAAAGGCUCCAUAUUGAAGUUUAUCCCUUACACUAUGCAAGCUGUGAAGCAAGGAUUUCAGGAUCUUGGUGCAUCCUCUUUGCAGUCAGCUCAUGAUCUGCUACAUUCAGAGGUGCUAAGAUUGGAGGUCCGAACAGGGGCUGCACAGGUAGAGGGAGGAGUGCAUGGCUUGGUUUCAUUCGAGAAGAAGUUCUUCUGAACAUUACCACAAAAAACUCACAGAUUAUCCUGUUCGUUUGAUCCUUGGUUCAGUGAAUGCUAGAGAGGCCAAAGUUCUAAUAACAUUGACGUCUUGUACCCAAAAUCCUCUCGAGUUUUGAUUCUGCUUUCUGAUUGAAAUAUUGAAGACGCCAUUUGCUAAUGGGUUUUCUUACCGCUGCCUGGCAUCAGCGCCACAGCCGCAGCCUCCACGCUCUCUCCAUAUCCAGCUUCUUCCCCAGCUGCCUGCGCUUCCUGGUGGCGGAAGGUGUCUGCACUCGGUGUAAGAGCUCGCUUCGUCUGGCUUUCCGCGGAUGAGGGAGUAGGGCACAUGGCGUGGCCCAGUCCCACAAUCUUCCUCUCCGGUAUUGCGCUUCCUCUGGCUUGCACGUUGGCCUGAGAUGAGACUUAUUCUCUCUCUCGCUCUCUCUCUGGUGGAACAGAGUGGCUUCACUGCCACUUGGUGCCUCGGCAUUGAGCGGGUCGUGGGUGGUGUCUCGUCUCAACCUCUUCUGCACCCACCAACCACAGGCCAUUCCCGUAAAGCUUUCCCCACUACCGCUCGUGCUGAUGCCUCUCAGAUUCCUGUAGCAGAGCUUCUGGAAAACAGGUCUUCGGACGGGGAUCACGGUCCCUGUUCCUGCACCGAUAGACUCGAGUACUGCAGGUAUUGGAUGAAAGCUGCCCAUUGUCGAUGGUUUCAUUCUUUCUUCCUUGGCGUAAUGAUUUCAUAAGCACUCUCCAUUAUAGAAUGUUAACCUGAUCUUGCUAAUGCUCGAACGGAUCAGCAAACAAUUCCCUGCCUCUGGUUCUCCUUCAGCUGCUGAGAGCAUGCGAGGUGAGGAGGCAUCUCCGGUCACCGACCAGUGUGAUACGAGCUCAGCAUUCCUUUUCACUUUGGCACAAAAUGUCAACCGUAUGCAGAACUGGAAAGGUUCUUCUGUUCUUAAUGGGAGGCCAUAGUGGGUGGGCCAGUUGUAGAAGACAGGGUGCGGAAGACCACUGACAUGGUUGUUUGCCCUGUGGUUGGUGGACGUCUACACUUGAUUGCUGUUCCUGCACCCAA